ncrna:unclassified sequences L31-Firmicutes ribosomal protein leader
CUAUGACUUGUAUUAGUCAUGGCGGAAGGAG